AAAGGUUUAAUUUUAAUUCACACACAUAUCGACACUAACAAUCGGGGUGCCAAACGGUCGGUUGUUUAGGGAUAUGUGGAGGCUAAAC
rnacentral:sRNA from 20 species